UACGAGGGGGGCUAGUGUUGUUCGGAAUCACUGGGCGUAAAGGGAGCGUAGGCGGGAGCCUAAGUUGGGUGUUUAAUUCCGGGGCCCAACCCCGGGCGUGCACUCAAAACUGGGUUUCUUAAAUAGGGGAGAGGUCGGUGGAAUUGGAGGUGUAGCGGUGGAAUGCGUAGAGAUCUCCAAGAACACCCGUUGCGAAGGCGGCCGACUGGACCCAUAUUGACGCUGAGGCUCGAAAGCAUGGGGAGCAAACAGG
rnacentral:rRNA from 1 species